rnacentral:rRNA from 1 species
CGCCAAAGAAUUACGAGCGCAAGCUUAAAACUUAAAGGACUUGACGGUGUCCCAUCUACCUAGAGGAGCCUGUUCUAUAAUCGAUAACCCUCGCUAUACCUCACCCUUUCUAGCUUAUCAGUCUGUAUACUUCCGCCGUAAGCUUACCGUAUGAAUGUAUUAGUAAGCCAAAUAGUUAAACUACCAAAACGUCAGGUCAAAGUGCAGCUUACAAAAGGGGAAGAAAUGGGCUACAAUUUCUAUUUAAGAACAUACGAAUUUAAACAAUUGAAAAUUGUUAUGAAGGCGGAUUUAGAAGUAAAGUAAAAAUAAAAUGUUUACUUUAAUUAUGCUCUGGGACGCGU